rnacentral:lncRNA from 1 species
GCAUAGAUCAUCAAUAAUAAACAUCUGUCCUUUCUGUGUCCUGUAGUGACCCAGGUUCCUGCUCCUUUGUUCUGGUUGCCCACAAACCAUACUGCACAGCCAAGGCCCUGUGGAUCCCUCCACCUUCACCAGUGACCCAGGUUCCUGCUCCUUUGUUCUGGUUGCCCACAAACCAUACUGCACAGCCAAGGCACCGUGGAUCCCUCCACCUUCACCAGUGACCCAGGUUCCUGCUCCUUUGCUCUGGUUGCCCACAAACCAUACUGCACAGCCAAGGCACCGUGGAUCCCUCCACCUUCACCAGAUGCUCACAGACCUACUUUCCAGAAGUUGCCAGACCUGACUGGUGAGAUGCCUUCCUCAGCUCUGCAGCUUUCCAGGCCCAUCCUUGAAUAGCAUCAUCACCCAAGAAAAGGAGCAGAACAGCUGCAGACCCUGAGCCCACUUCACACUGCUGUCAUCAGUUAGCUCCUGAGCUGGCCAACUAUCUACCACCUGAGCCCCGAGACACCCCUCUCUUCCUUCCCUGAAGACAAAUUGGCUGUCUCUCAGAGUUCUCACAGGGGCUAUCAGCACUGUCAGCAGCAUCACUGCAGAAUCCCUCUCUGCCUGGGACAGCAGCUCAGCCAGUCUUUAGCCUCUGAGGGUGAAACAAGUGAGCAGUGGGCUCUGGAAGGGGGAGAGAAGCUUACAGGGAAAAAGAUGUCCACCCUACAUAGACAACCAGAUUCUAUGAUUUGUCUCCUUAAUUCUGAGCACUCUUUCACCAGAUAGGCAUUCCUUUCUUGCUGGACACUAGCAGUGAAGACACUCUGGCCAAUUCAAGUGUGGUGGGCAUGGCUCUGGCAGUCCUUACCCUUCUCCCUGAUUCCCUCUGCCUUUCUAAAAACCAUUAGAUUAAAUUUCUAAAGCUAGCCACCAAGGUCUAUUUCCUCCUCUUGAGGUCAACCACCAAGGUCCAGCUAUCAAAGUAUUGAAGUCCAGCAAACAAAAGCCCCAUUUGGCUCACCUAAGUAACAUGCAAAUUAAAAUUAUAUAGCUCAUCCUAAAAUGCGGUUUCCCAUUUUACCCUAUUUUAUUUGUUUGUUUGUUUGCUUGCUUGCUUGCUUAUACUUAUCUAAUGAAUGAGUGAUCUGCUGUAUAUACAUCCACAGGCCAGAAGAGGGCAUCAGGUCCCCUUAUAGAUGGUUUUAAGCCACCAUGUCAGUGCUGGGAAUUGAACUCAGGACCUCUGGAAGAGCAGCCAGUGCUCUUAACUGCUGAGCAAUCUCACCAGCCCCCCAUCCUGGCUUUGUAAACCAUCAUUUACCCAUGAGCCUUGUCCGUCUCCCCUCUAUCCAGAGACAGUUUUUGGUUCCUCCUGGACAAAUCUUCUUACUCCCCUUUCCCUUACUCCUUCCCCUUCUCCUUUGUCCUCCAUCUCCUGACUUAUCCCCUGCCCUCUGUCCCUCUGGGGCAAAUAGAUCUUCUCUGUGCUGAGAACUUGGUCUUAGCAUGUAUUGAGUUGAUUUCAAAGUCCCUCUAUAACUGCUGCGCAUGGAAAAAAAUCCCAGAAGAAUUCUCUAUCAUAGUCCUUGUCUUUUCUUUAAGACCCUAACAGAACCAGAGAAAACAGGAAUAUCCAGAAAGAUGGAAGACAGAUAAGAAUGGGAGGAACAUUGAGUGUAUAAGAAAAGAUGGGAGGCAGCUAUCCAUCCGCAUGAUGGGCAGGCCUGCAGAAGGUCUUAAAUGUCUCACCUCUUAAGAUCCAUAUUAAAAGUGGGUUUUCUCACCUCAAAUGAUUUAUUUCAGAAAAACUCUUGAGGCUAGAGCAAUGGCUCAGGGGUUAAGAGCAUUGACUGUUCUUCCAGAGGACCUGAGUUCAAUUCCCAGUACCUACAUGAAAAUUUACUGCUGUCUAUAACUCCAGUUUCAAGGAAUCCAGCACCCUCACAGACAGACAUGUAUGCAAAGCAUCAAUCAAUGUUCAUAAAAUAAAAAUAAAGAAAAGGAAAAACCCUCACACAUGUACCAAGCUGCUUAGUUUUUAGUUAAUUCCAGAUGUAGUGAAGCUGACAGCCAAGAAUAGUCAAUACAGUGUCCCUGUCCUGUCCUCCAUGAUCUUCCCCUCCACACACCUCACCAAACUCCAGGCUCGAACCAGUACACACUUCUUAUACGACAACCCCCUGACUUCACUCCAUCUAAGUCCACCCAUCCUACAGGCCCAACCUGGCCCACACAUCCUGGGAUCUGCCCCUAACUCCUCUGUCUACAUCAGACACAGAACUAACCAAAAAAAAAAAGUUCACAUGCCCAGAUCUCAUAAUAAAAAUAUAAAUAAUUUGAAAACUCAAGGCAGUACCCUCACAAAAAUACCCGCCAAUACUAUAGAAAUGUUCACUAAAGAGAAUUACCCAAAUGAAUCCUCAUGACACAGAACUAAAAAGAACAUUCACAAACUUUGAGACACAGCAAGAAGGCCCUCAGCAGACCCAGCCCCUCUAUCUCAGACUUCCCAGCCUCUAGAUCUGUGAGACAUACACCCCUGUUUAUUGCAAAUUCACUCUCACAAAGCCCUCCAUUACACCACCACAGAUGGGACAACGGCCCCAGCCUGACCUCGCUCCUGAAUCAAUAUUCUCAUGUCAGCUCAGCAUUUCAUCUUGAAUAAACAUUCAAGCAAGCAUUUCUCAUUUAGUAUUUCCCAAACCACAGAGAUUCUCUUCCCCAACCUUUUCUUCUUCAAGUCUUCCCCCAUCUCACCAAGUGGUCACUCUAACCUUCUAGAUGUCCAGUUAUCUAAACUAAAAUGGGGGGGUUGCAGACCUUGACCCAAUCCAUGGGUUCAUUGGUAAACUCUUGGUAUUUCACAUGCAGGCUUUCUCCAAAAACCUGCCCUGCCUGCUUUCCACAGGAGAUUAAAUAAAGAGAUGUGUGAGACACUUGUUUCACUUUAUCUGACACAAGUGCUUCUCAAUAGAAGUAUCUGUUCCUUGUCCGAACUAAAGGGAACUGCAACCCUAUAGGUGGAACAACAAUAUAAACUAAUCAGUACCCCGGAGCUCUUGUCUCUAGCUGCAUAUGUAUCAAAAGAUGGCCUAAUAGGCCAUCACUUGAAAGAGAGGCCCAUUGGACUUGCAAACUUUAUAUGCCCCAGUACAGGGGAACGCCAGGGCCAAAAAGGGGGAGUGGGUGGGUAGGGGAGUGGGGGGGUAUGGGGGACUUUUGGUAUAGCAUUGGAAAUGUAAAUGAGCUAAAUACCUAAUAAAAAAUGG